GCCGGAGUAGCUCAGUGGUAGAGCGUUGGUCUGAAGAACCAAGCGUCGGUGGUCCGAUUCCGCCCUCCGGCA
rfam:Parcubacteria bacterium GW2011_GWA1_45_10 TW85_C0003, whole genome shotgun sequence.